AUGCAAACGGAGCGCUUCAGUGGCGGACCCGGUGUAGCCUCCCUGUUGGAGUUGCUUUUGAGUGACCGCUCUCUGAUCUCCUUUCCAGGCGUGGAGGCCCUUCGAGUGAGUCAGUCCCCGCCAGACUUGGUCCUAAAGCCCCAAGCUUCACUGAAAGUCAACUGCACAAUAUUUGAUGUCCCCAACCCAAACCUGUUCUGGUACCGGCAGAGAGCCUCCGGGGAGAUGGAGCUGAAGUUCUUCUCCAUAGGAGUACGCAAUAUGGACCCGAAAGAAGAAGUGGACGGGUUCAGGGCCAGUAGGCCUGUGGACCUGCAGCUGUUGUUAGAGUCUGAUGGUGUACAGCUGGCAGAACCGGCUGUAUGGUUCUGCGCUGCCAGUCAAGCACAGUGA